rfam:Bombyx mori DNA, contig: Bm_scaf105_contig36618, strain: p50T/Dazao, build 2, whole genome shotgun sequence.
UUAACUCAAAUUUGUAUGGAGUUGAAAAGUUUGCCUACGUUUGCCGCGCGGUAUUCUGUUCCAACUGCAUACAAAUUUGAGUUA